rnacentral:rRNA from 1 species
UGGGGGAUAUUGCACAAUGGGCGAAAGCCUGAUGCAGCGACGCCGCGUGGGGGAUGAAGGCCUUCGGGUUGUAAACUUCUUUUGCUCUGAACAAGGCAUGCCUUUGGGGUGUGUUGAGUGUAGGGGUUGAUUAGCGCCGGCUAACUACGUGCCAGCAGCCACGGUAAUACGUAGGGCGCGAGCGUUGUCCGGAAUUAUUGGGCGUAAAGGGCUUGUAGGUGGCUGGUUGCGUCUGUCGUGAAAGCUCAUGGCUUAACUGUGGGUUUGCGGUGGGUACGGGCUGGCUUGAGUGCAGUAGGGGAGGCUGGAAUUCCUGGUGUAGCGGUGGAAUGCGCAGAUAUCAGGAGGAAUACCGGUGGCGAAGGCGGGUCUCUGGGCUGUUACUGACGCUGAGGAGCGAAAGCGUGGGGAGCGAACAGG